GUGCUCACUUCAACAGCACAUUUUCUAAAAUUGGAAUGAUACAGAGAAAAUUAGCAUGGCCCCUGCACAAGGAUGACAAUAAAAUUCAUGAAGCAUUCCAUAUUUUU